rnacentral:rRNA from 1 species
UACGUAGGUGGCAAGCGUUGUCCGGAUUUACUGGGCGUAAAGCGAACGCAGGCGGAGUGUUAAGUAAGAAGUGAAAGGUUGGAGCUCAACUCUGACACGGCUUCUUAUACUGGCAUUCUUGAGUCUUGGAGAGGAAAGCGGAACGACACGUGUAGCGGUGAAAUGCGUUGAUAUGUGUCGGAACACCGAUGGCGAAAGCAGCUUUCUGGACAAGUACUGACGCUGAGGUUCGAAAGCCAAGGUAGCGAACAGG